AGGUUAGCAGGGGAAAUAGGCUGGAAUGAUUGUUAGGGAGUGGGGGGGUAUGUUUGGAGUGCCUGUGUUGGGUAGUCUACAGUUGCUCCCUAGGAGAAGGGUGUUCUGGCUGGAAAAGCUGGUGGGUAGGCAGUAGCUACAGCAAAGCAGGAAAGGAAUCCAGGGAAGUAGCAAUAAGAUCUUAGAGCAAGCAGACCAUAGCUGCUGGAUGUAAGGUCCCUGGACUGGAAACUGGAGUAGUGGAUGGGUCUGGGCUCCCCUACUGGCUGUUGGGAAAGUGGCACAGGCCUGUCCUGGAAGACUGUCUGGGGUGGGGCAUGAGAACAGUUGGUACAACAGGACUUGGAUACCCCAGCAGGGCAGGACAGUUCUGUGACCUGGCUGGAGGGGCUGAGUCACCAAGAGGAAGUACCCAGAGUCCCAGAGAGGCAGUGGGGCUGUGGUGAGCCCAUAAUGAUAGAAAGGGGGCUUUAGACUGGACAGAACUAAUCCCCAGUGCUGCUGUGUGUCCUGUGACAUGGUGCUAAAGGCACCCAAAUUCAGAUACCUGAAAGAACCCUGAUUUUGCAGAAAGUGCAGAGGAGCUACCCUCUGAAAAAAGGCUUCUCUAAGGUAUCUUCAGGUGUUCCCCUGCAGACAGCAUGUUUGCUCCCUGAGAGUAUCUGCUCCCUGCUGCACGUUCGCCAUCUGAAGUCAAAACCCUGUUUGCGAUGGCCAAACCAAUUCCAUUGGCUUAUGGAGUCCCUUGGGGAUUUGUGGGUGAGAGGAGGAUAUAGCCCAAGGACAUGAGGCUGUCAGAGCAGGGAAGUAUCUGAAACAUGCAUGUUAUAGGGUCUCCUUAUCCCAACUCCACAGCUGCAAUUAAAAUAGCUAGAGAAAUAAUUGUUGCCUUUUGCUCAAACUCCUCCUUGCAUAGACUCAUGGAAGGGUUGUUUCUCUUCAUGCUGCAGACAUCAGUGGUGUGCUUGUCUUUCUUGCUUGGCUAAACAGCAGAAAUAACAUGCAGAGAUGUUAAAAGUGGCUCCUUGGUAUAUUUUGCCUGAGGUCAGUGCAAGUUCCUUUUAUUGGAGAAGCUUCCCCAAGGCCCUACCGUUAAAGCAUUUACCCAUUCUUCAUUGAGUCUGUUUCCAUGUAACUGAUUAUCCUGGCUGCGUAAGUGCUCAGUUAAAGCAUCUGUCCCAUCUGUGAUGGGACAAAAGGCUCCCAACAGUC